CCUACGGGAGGCAGCAGUGGGGAAUCUUGCGCAAUGGGCGAAAGCCUGACGCAGCGACGCCGCGUGAGGGAUGAAGGUCUUCGGAUCGUAAACCUCUGUCAGCAGGGAAGAACGGUCACUGUGCUAAUCAGCAGUGAAUUGACGGUACCUGCAACGGAAGCACCGGCUAAAUCCGUGCCAGCAGCCGCGGUAAUACGGAGGGUGCGAGCGGUAAUCGGAAUUACUGGGCGUAAAGCGCUCGUAGGCGGUAUGUCAAGUCAAGGGGGAAAUCCCCGCGCUCAACGUGGGAUCUGCCUUUGAAACUGGCAAACUGGAGUGUGUGAGAGGAUAGUGGAAUUCCAGGUGUAGGAGUGAAAUGCGUAGAUAUCUGGAGGAACAUCAGUGGCGAAGGCGACUAUCUGGCACAUAACUGACGCUGAGGAGCGAAAGCGUGGGUAGCAAACAGGAUUAGAUACCCGAGUAGUC
rnacentral:rRNA from 1 species